AUUGUCAAAAGGGAAACAGCCCAGACCUACAGCUAAGGUCCCAAAGUAUAGUUAAGUGGAAAAGGAUGUGGAAUUGCAUAGACAACCAGGAUGUUGGCUUAGAAGCAGCCACUCAUUAAAAGAGUGCGUAAUAGCUCACUGGUCGAGUGAUUCUGCGCCGAAAAUUUAACGGGGCUAAACUAUACACCGAAGCUUAGGAUACCGCAAGGUAUGGUAGGAGAGCGUUCUGUACGGAGUGAAGUCGUAGCGAAAGCGGCGGUGGACUGUACAGAAGUGAGAAUGCCGGAAUAAGUAGCGAGAAUUAAGUGAGAAUCUUAAUGGCCGAAAGUCUAAGGUUUUUGGAGGAAGGUUCGUCCGCUCCAAGUAAGUCGGGAGCUAAGGUCAGGCCGAAAGGCGUAGCCGAUGCACAAACGGUUGAUAUUCCGUUACCGUCUACAAUUUAAACAAAGGGACACAUACAAAGCGUUUAACCCGGGCGAUGGUUGACCCGGGCGCAAGGGACUGAAAUAAGAGUAGGGAAGUAAAUGUGGCGUAUGGCGAGAAAAGCUUUGUGAAUAGAAGUAGACGCCCGUACCGCAAACCGACACAGGUGGACAGGAAGAGAAUUCUAAGGCCAGCGGGAGAAGGGUAGUUAAGGAACUCGGCAAAUUGACUCCGUAACUUCGGAAUAAGGAGUGCUCGAAAGAGCCGCAGAGAAUAGGCCCAGGCGACUGUUUAGCAAAAACACAGGUCUCUGCCAAAUCGAAAGAUGAAGUAUAGGGGCUGACACCUGCCCGGUGCCGGAAGGUUAAGAGGAGGAGUGCAAGCUCCGAAUUGAAGCCCCGGUAAACGGCGGCCGUAACUAUAACGGUCCUAAGGUAGCGAAAUUCCUUGUCGGGUAAGUUCCGACCCGCACGAAUGGUGUAACGAUCUGGGCACUGUCUCAACUACCCACCCGGCGAAAUUGUAGUACCGGUGAAGAUGCCGGUUACCUGCGGCAAGACGGAAAGACCCCAUGGAGCUUUACUGUAGCCUGAUAUUGGGUUUCGGAAAUCUAUGUACAGGAUAGGCGGGAGACUGGGAAGUAUGAGCGUCAGCUUAUACGGAGUCGUUGUUGGGAUACCGCCCUUAGGUUUCUGGAAUUCUAACCUGCGACCGUGAAUCCGGUCGGGGGACAUUGUCAGGUGGGCAGUUUGACUGGGGCGGUCGCCUCCGAAAAGGUAACGGAGGCGCUCAAAGGUUGGCUCAGCACGGACGGAAACCGUGCCUCAGAGUGUAAACGCAAAAGCCAGCCUAACUGCGAGGAUGACGGUCCGAGCAGUAACGAAAGUUGGAGUUAGUGAUCCGGCGGUAUGUGAAUGGAAAUGCCGUCGCUCAACGGAUAAAAGCUACCCUGGGGAUAACAGGCUGAUCUCCCCCAAGAGUCCACAUCGACGGGGAGGUUUGGCACCUCGAUGUCGGCUCAUCACAUCCUGGGGCUGUAUUCGGUCCCAAGGGUUCGGCUGUUCGCCGAUUAAAGUGGUACGCGAGCUGGGUUCAGAACGUCGCGAGACAGUUCGGUCCCUAUCUGUCGUGGGCGCAGGAUAUUUGAGGAGCUCUGUCCUUAGUACGAGAGGACCGGGAUGGACGUACCUCUGGUGCACCAGUUGUCAUGCCAAUGGCACGGCUGGGCAGCUACGUACGGAACGGAUAAACGCUGAAAGCAUCUAAGCGUGAAGCCGACUCCAAGAUUAGAUAUCCCAUUGCAUAAGCAAGUAAGACCCCUUGAGGACUACGAGGUUGAUAGGCUGCGUGUGUAAGUGUCGUGAGGCAUUUAGCUUGGCAGUACUAAUAGGUCGAGGGCUUGACCA
rnacentral:rRNA from 1 species